GAUGAACGCUGGCGGCGUGCCUAAUACAUGCAAGUCGAGCGAACGGACGAGAAGCUUGCUUCUCUGAUGUUAGCGGCGGACGGGUGAGUAACACGUGGAUAACCUACCUAUAAGACUGGGAUAACUUCGGGAAACCGUAGCUAAUACCGGCUAAUAUUUUGAACCGCAUGGUUCAAAAGUGAAAGACGGUCUUGCUGUCACUUAUAGAUGGAUCCGCGCUGCAUUAGCUAGUUGGUAAGGUAACGGCUUACCAAGGCAACGAUGCAUAGCCGACCUGAGAGGGUGAUCGGCCACACUGGAACUGAGACACGGUCCAGACUCCUACGGGAGGCAGCAGUAGGGAAUCUUCCGCAAUGGGCGAAAGCCUGACGGAGCAACGCCGCGUGAGUGAUGAAGGUCUUCGGAUCGUAAAACUCUGUUAUUAGGGAAGAACAUAUGUGUAAGUAACUGUGCACAUCUUGACGGUACCUAAUCAGAAAGCCACGGCUAACUACGUG
rnacentral:rRNA from 1 species